UACGUAGGGGGCAAGCGUUGUCCGGAUUUAUUGGGCGUAAAGAGCGUGUAGGCGGCCAGGGAGGUCCGUUGUGAAAACUCGAGGCUCAACCUCGAGACGCCGAUGGAAACCCCCUGGCUAGAGUCCGGAAGAGGAGAAUGGAAUUCCUGGUGUAGCGGUGAAAUGCGCAGAUAUCAGGAAGAACACCCGUGGCUAAGGCGGUUCUCGUAGUACGGUACUGACGCUGGAGAACGGCGGAAAGCGUGGGGAGCGAACAGG
rnacentral:rRNA from 1 species